rnacentral:rRNA from 1 species
GACGAACGCUGGCGGCGUGCUUAACACAUGCAAGUCGAGCGGUAAGGCCCUUUCGGGGGUACACGAGCGGCGAACGGGUGAGUAACACGUGGGUGACCUGCCUUUAGCUCUGGGAUAAGCCUGGGAAACUGGGUCUAAUACCGGAUACGACUCCGCGGUGCAUGCUGUGGGGUGGGAAAGCCUUGUGCGGCUGGAGAUGGGCCCGCGGCCUAUCAGCUUGUUGGUGGGGUGAUGGCCACCAAGGCGACGACGGGUAGCCGGCCUGAGAGGGCGACCGGCCACACUGGGACUGAGACACGGCCCAGACUCCUACGGGAGGCAGCAGU